rnacentral:rRNA from 1 species
AUGUCAUCUCGUAGUCAAGUGCUUCAAAGUUACAAGUCUUCCGCUACCAUGGUUCGCAUUCAGUAUGAAUCCUCCGUUCGAGUUUUUCGCACGGAUUCGGCUAGCGAGUACCUAUCUCGUGAGCUUCAUGGUUUUCUUGCUGAACAGGGCACCCUUCCUCGGUAUUCCUAUCGAGGCGCCCAUGCUCGAAAUGGGGUGGCUGAACGCAAACAUCACCACAUCCUUGAGACUAUCUUCUGUUGUUUCUCAGUGACCUUUUCAAUUUUGUUUCUCCUACACCGGUGGCAGCAGCCUCCAUCGGCACCUACUGGAAGCAGGAUGGUCACAUGA